AUGGUAUCAUCACCACUCGUAGUAUCUGCUAUACCUUUUGAAACCCACAACCCUUCUUCUUCCAAGCUACAAGUUCUACCACGCAGUCCAUGUGUUUUAUCAUCAACAGACUCGCUGUCGCAAAGAUCCAAAAUGCGAACUGCCAAUUUAGACUCUGUCAUUCUUGAUCAUCAGCCUUGCAUCAGAUUCAUGGAUGUGGUUGAUGCUAUUGGUGGGCGCUUGAAAAGGUUACUCAAGUGA